UCGAACGAUGAACCUCCUUCGGGAAGGGGAUUAGUGGCGAACGGGUGAGUAACACGUGGGCAAUUCUGCCCUUCACUCUGGGACAAGCCCUGGAAACGGGGUCUAAUACCGGAUAACACUGCGGAUCGCAUGGUCUGCGGUUGAAAGCUCCGGCGGUGAAGGAUGAGCCCGCGGCCUAUCAGCUUGUUGGUGGGGUGAUGGCCUACCAAGGCGACGACGGGUAGCCGGCCUGAGAGGGCGACCGGCCACACUGGGACUGAGACACGGCCCAGACUCCUACGGGAGGCAGCAGUGGGGAAUAUUGCACAAUGGGCGAAAGCCUGAUGCAGCGACGCCGCGUGAGGGAUGACGGCCUUCGGGUUGUAAACCUCUUUCAGCAGGGAAGAAGCGAAAGUGACGGUACCUGCAGAAGAAGCGCCGGCUAACUACGUGCCAGCAGCCGCGGUAAUACGUAGGGCGCAAGCGUUGUCCGGAAUUAUUGGGCGUAAAGAGCUCGUAGGCGGCUUGUCGCGUCGGAUGUGAAAGCCCGGGGCUUAACCCCGGGUCUGCAUUCGAUACGGGCAGGCUAGAGUGUGGUAGGGGAGAUCGGAAUUCCUGGUGUAGCGGUGAAAUGCGCAGAUAUCAGGAGGAACACCGGUGGCGAAGGCGGAUCUCUGGGCCAUUACUGACGCUGAGGAGCGAAAGCGUGGGGAGCGAACAGGAUU
rnacentral:rRNA from 1 species